UUGUAUUAUCUCAGUCUUUUUUUUUUUUUUUUUUUUGAGACAAGAUUUUGCUGACACCCAGGCUGGACUGUUGUGGUGCAAUCACGGCUUACUGCAGUCUUGACCUCCUGGGCAGAAGCAAUCCUCCCAGCUCAGCCUCCUGAGUAGCUUGGACUACAGGCAUGCACCACCUUGUCAGGUUAAUUUUUUCUAUUUUUGCAGAGAGUUUCCCUUUGCUCAUGAGGCUGUUCUUGAACUCCUGGGCUCAAGUGAUCCUCCCGCCUUGGCCUCCCUAAGUGCUGGAAUUACAGGUGUAAGCUACCAUGCCUGGCUAAUAUAUUUUUUAUUCUUAUUCUUAUUAUUAUUUUUUUUACUAGACACGAGGUCUCACUAUGUUGCCCAGGCUGGUCUCAAACCCCGGAUCUCAAGCGAUUCUCCCCCUCAGCCUCCCAAAGUGCUGGGAUUACAGGCAUGAGCCACCACGUCUGGCUUCAUCUCAGUCUUUAAACAACAAUCUUACUGGCUGAUCAUGACUGACUGGCUAUUGAGCCACGCAGACUAGAGAUUUCUCAGGAGCUGUGGCACAAGAAUCGCUUGGCCUGGGAGGCAGAAGUUGCAGUGAGCCGAGAUGGUUCCACUGCACUAGAGCCUGGGUGACAGACUGAGACUCUGUCUCAAAUAAAAAAAAAAAAAGAAGUGAACAUGCAUAAAAUUGUACACCACAAACCAAUUUUUUAAAAAGAUUUUAACGUCAGGCUAUCCCUUGACGUACUUAAAAAUCGUAAGUUUAGAAUCCUUGUCUUGUAUAGCAAAUAAAUAUUAACAUAGUGAAUUAAAUGAAAUUAAAUGUUAGAAUGUGUAUGACAGCCUAGGCAUAAGGCAUGGCCUGUUAGAAGGCUGAAGACACUUAUUCCUGAUCCUGAAAUCCGAAGUAAACUGUAAACUUUGCUUUUAGAUGGAAGAAGACUGAGGGAAAUGAGAGGAUGGAGCUUAAUUUAUAAUGAUGAAAAAAAGAAACAUACUCCUGAAUUUGAAAUCUGAUUCUAUUUGUGAAAGCACUUACAUGCUUUGAAACAUAUCUAUUUUUAUCACAGCAAUAAAAGAUUCAAACUGAAA
rnacentral:lncRNA from 1 species